rnacentral:rRNA from 1 species
GAUGAACGCUGGCGGCGCGCCUAAUACAUGCAAGUCGAGCGAACGGACGAGAUGCUUGCUUCACUGAUGUUAGCGGCGGACGGGUGAGUAACACGUGGAUAACCUGCCUAUAAGACUGGGAUAACUUCGGGAAACCGGAGCUAAUACCGGAUAAUAUUUUGAACCGCAUGGUUCAAAAGUGAAAGAAGGUCUUGCUGUAACUUAUAGAUGGAUCCGAGUUGCAUCAGCUAGUUGGUAAGGUAAAGGCUUCCCAAGGCAAGAAUCAAUACCCGACGUAGAAGGGUGAUCGCCAACAUUGGAACGGAGACCGGGUCAAGACACUUAAGGGAGGAACAAGUAGGGAAUCUUGCGCAAUGGGCGAAGGCCUAACGGAGCAACCCCGCGUGAGUGAGGAAGGUCUUCGAAUCUUAAACCUCUUUGGUUAGGAAAAACCAUGUUUGUAAGGGAAUGUUCAUCACUUGACGGUAACUAACCAGAAAGCCACGGCUAACUACGUG